GAGUUUGAUCAUGGCUCAGAACGAACGCUGGCGGCGUGCUUAACACAUGCAAGUCUUACGAGAAAGUUUCCUUCGGGGAACGAGUACAGUGGCGCACGGGUGAGUAACACGUGGGUAACCUACCCUUCAGUCUGGGAUAACAUUUCGAAAGGGAUGCUAAUACCGGAUUCGUUCAAUUUGACUUCGGUCAUAUUGAGGAAAGAUGGCCUCUAAACUAUGCUAUUGCUGAUGGAUGGGCCCGCGGACCAUUAGCUUGUUGGUGGGGUAACGGCCUACCAAGGCUCCGAUGGGUAGCUGAUCUGAGAGGAUGAUCAGCCACACUGGUACUGGAACACGGCCCAGACUCCUACGGGAGGCAGCAGUUAAGAAUCUUGCACAAUGGGCGAAAGCCUGAUGCAGCGACGCCGCGUGAGCGGUGAAGGCCUUCGGGUUGUAAAGCUCUUUUCUGGGGGAUGAAACCGGUGAUUAAUAGUCACUAUCUGACGGUACCCCAGGAAUAAGCCUCGGCUAAUUACGUGCCAGCAGCCGCGGUAAUACG
rnacentral:rRNA from 1 species